GUAGGGUAACCUGCGGAGGGAUCAUUACAAGAACGCCCGGGCUUCGGCCUGGUUAUUCAUAACCCUUUGUUGUCCGACUCUGUUGCCUCCGGGGCGACCCUGCCUUCGGGCGGGGGCUCCGGGUGGACACUUCAAACUCUUGCGUAACUUUGCAGUCUGAGUAAACUUAAUUAAUAAAUUAAAACUUUUAACAACGGAUCUCUUGGUUCUGGCAUCGAUGAAGAACGCAGCGAAAUGCGAUAAGUAAUGUGAAUUGCAGAAUUCAGUGAAUCAUCGAAUCUUUGAACGCACAUUGCGCCCCCUGGUAUUCCGGGGGGCAUGCCUGUUCGAGCGUCAUUUCACCACUCAAGCCUCGCUUGGUAUUGGGCAACGCGGUCCGCCGCGUGCCUCAAAUCGUCCGGCUGGGUCUUCUGUCCCCUAAGCGUUGUGGAAACUAUUCGCUAAAGGGUGUUCGGGAGGCUACGCCGUAAAACAACCCCAUUUCUAAGGUUGACCUCGGAUCAGGUAGGGAUACCCGCUGAACUUAAGCAUAUCAAUAA
rnacentral:rRNA from 1 species